rnacentral:rRNA from 1 species
AUGCCAUGUUUAAUAAAAAUGCAGUUGCCAUGUUUUAUGCAAUGUGCUUCCAUUGGGGAAUGUUGGUGCGGAAAUGACGAUAUCCAGUUGAAAAUGUACUGCAAUUGCCAUGUCUGUUGUACUGCAAUUGCCAUGUAUGUUGUAAUGCAUUUGCCAUGUGUAGUGUACUGCAUUUGCCAUGUUCAACGUAAUAUAUUUGCCAUGUUCAAUGAACUAUGUUUGCCAUGUUCAAACAAAAUGUAUUUCUAUUUCCAUGACAACAUAAGGGUGUACAAGAAAAAGAUCGCACGAAAGUUUAACAGAAAACACACAAAACUUGCAGAUUCCAGGAAGAAAUAA